GGUGUGUUGCGAGUCUCACGGGGCGGACCCCUCGUCCCGGGAGCACUGUCAUGACACUUGUCACCUGCUGUUUAAUGGCCGUUUAGCUUUGUGUUCCAGGCCCUCCUAAAUGUGAUCAUGGCCGGGUCACCCCUCAGUGUGGUUACCGUGGGUUCUGAAUUCAAGUCUUGCAGGAACCCAGCCCUUCUUUCUAGGCGUGCUUGUUUGCCUCAUUCCUGGAAAUUGUCCACGGUGGCGUUUUAAUUCAGCUUAUUCAUGUAGCCUAGAAAAGUUUAUAUUUUCUUCAAGUUUGAAAGUGAAUUGUUUUUAUUUUAUUAUUAAGUACCUUUAUUUAUAAAGGCAAUAUAUCUUUAACAACCUUGCUUAUUUCUCCAAUGUUGUUGCAUUUUAUACACUCUGCGGCAGAAUUUGGCUAAAAUAUGCCCUCAAUUUGGCUUUUUCAAUCUCCAUAUUUUUUGCUUCCCACCAUUUCCUCACUCGAAAGUCAAACUUGCUAACUUCUGCCACCGGCGAGAAGAGAGCGACUGCGGAGUGGGUGCUCUGAUGCUGGCAUUGGCCUUGCUCUCUUGUUUCUCUUAAUAUCUGAACAAGACAAUAUGUAUUUUAUUUAUUUAUUUUUGACAGGCAGAGGUAGACUGUAAGAGAGAGAGACAGAGAGAAAGGUCUUCCUUCCGUUGGUUCACCCCUCAAAUGGCCACUACAGCCGGUGCACUGCGCUGAUCCGAAGCCAGGAGCCAGGCGCUUUCUCCUGGUCUCCCAUGGGGUGCAGGGCCCAAGCACUUGGGCCAUCCUCCACUGCACUCCCGGGCCACAGCUGAGAGCUGGCCUGGAAGAGGAGCAACCGGGACAGAAUCCGGCGCCCCGACCGGACUAGAACCCGGUGUGCCGGCACCGCAGGCAGAGGAUUAACCUAGUGAGCCGCAGCGCCGGCUUGAACAAGACAAUAAGACUGGUAAGAGCUAUCACGCUUAACUAGAAAAAGCAGUUUGUUUUUUCCAACAUGAGGAAAGAGCGGGAAGUUAGACAAGCUGGGCAGGCUUAGUGAUUUAAAACUGAAAGUCACAUCAGAUGCUGACCUGACAAUGAGGGACAGCAGAGACGAAUUCCUGCCAGUGUUAGAAACUCUCCCUCCGCCUGGGAGAACCAGGGUGCGACCAACCAGGCGGUGGACCAGAAAGGGUAUAAGGAAGGGGAGUUCGUUAGUUGAAUAGUGAUUUACUGACUUGCAACAGCAAUCAAAAGAAACCACAUUAGAAUGGGCUGGGGAGUCUGCAGGCCUAGGUUCUGUCCUGUCCUUGUCACCUGCCGUGUCCCUCCUCUGAGUCCCAGUUUUCUGAUUUAAAAGAGAGAGGUAUAGUUAAAUACACUUACAGGUUACAACUUAGGUGUUUUUUUUUUUUUUUUUUUUGACAGGAAGAGUGGACAGUGAGAGAGAGAGAGAAAGGUCUUCCUUUUGCCCUUGGUUCACCCUCCAAUGGCCGCCGCAGCCAGCGCGCGGCGGCCGGCGCACCGCGCUGAUCCGAUGGCAGGAACCAGGUACUUAUCCUGUUCUUCCAUGGGGUGCAGGGCCCAAGCACUUGGGCCAUCCUCCACUGCACUCCCUGGCCACAGCAGAGAGCUGGCCUGGAAGAGGGGCAACCGGGACAGAAUCUGGCACCCCGACCAGGACUAGAACCCGGUGUGCCAGCGCCACAAGGCAGAGGAUUAGCCUAGUGAGCCAAUGUGCCGGCCAACUUAGAUUUUUGAUACUUUGAAUUUGGACCUAUGAAAGCAAGUUUGUGCAGUGACCAGAAGGUGACACUGGCUGUCAGUCCACUGGUCUGACAUUAUUUUUAAGGUUGGAGAAUAAUAGAGAGGUGCUUAUUCCAGUGAUUUGUUUGUCUUGUUUUGCUAGGUAAGCUAGAUUGCAAAUGGAAACGUCUUCAAUGUCUCCUACAUACAGGAAUGCUUAUCAUCAUAUGCAUGCUGGAGAGAUUCCUUCUAUCAUGCAUAGCCACCCAUGCCCCAGCACAGCCCACUUGGGGAUGAUGGAGUUGCCAUCUGUUUGUUUCCUGUCAGUGAAACCUAGUUCCCAAAAUGAUGGAUAAGGCGAGAGAACGCAGGGAGACGGAGAAGAAUGUGGAAUUUUAAAAAGCACAGGAAGGUUGAGAUGACUCCACUCAAACAAAUAACCAUCCUAGAUUGCCUUGGAUAUCAGUAGAAGGACAUGAUACAUCACAUGUGUCAGAUGAAAUGCAACUACUGGCAAACAUCUGAAAAAAUAAGUAAUCAGAGAAAUGAAAAUUAAAUUCAAUUUGCAAACAAAAAUUUGGGAAGACUUUCCAAAUUCCACCAUUUUUUUAAGCCCAAUUUUUUUUGAGCCGUUUUAGGUAUAGCUUUAUCCCAAAUGGCCUUGUACAUCCUAUGGGUCCAGACAAUGUAUAAUGAUGUAUGUCCACUAUCAGAGCAUCACAGAGAAUAGUUUCACGUCCCUUAAAAUCCUCUGUGCAGGGCCAGCGUUGUGGUGCAGUGGAUUAAGCCACUGCCUAGGAUGCUGGCCUCCUACAUCAGAGCACUGAAUUCCGGCUGCUCUGCUUCUGACCCAGCUCCCUGCUAAUGCACCGAGGAAAGCAUGGGAGAUGGCCCAAGCAGCCUCUGCCACCCGUGUGGGAGACCUGGAUGAAAUUCCAGGCUCCUGACCCAAUUCUGGCCAUUGUGGCCAUGUGGGAAUAAACAAGCUGAAAGUAAAUCCUCCGUGCUCCACCUGUUCCUCCCUCCCUCCUCACUAAUCCCCGGAAACCACCGACCUCUGCCCUGUGUUCCUAGUUCUGCCUUGCCCAGGACGUCACAUGGCGGAGAUCAGACAGUUCCUAGUUUUUCAGAUAGACUGCUUUCCCUUACUCAUAAGCAUUUAAGUUUCCUCCACGCCUUGGUAGCUCAUUUCUUGUUAUGGCUGAACAAUAUCCUGUUUUUUUUUUUUUUUAUAAAGAUUUAUUUAUUUACUUGAAAGAGUUACAGAGGGGCAGAGAGACAGGUCUUCCAUCUGCUGGUUCACUCCCCAGAUGGCUGCAAUGGCCGGAGCUGCACCAAUCCAAAGCCAGGAGCCAGGAGCUUCUUCUGGGUCUCCCAUGUGGGUGCAGGGGCCCAAGCACUUGGGCCAUCUUCCACUGCUUUCCCAGGCCAGAGCAGAGAGCUGGAUCGGAAGUGGAGCAGCCGGGACUCAAACCGGUGCCCAAAUGGGAUGCUUGCACUUUAGGUAGCAGCUUUACCCACUACACCACAGCGCGGACCCCUAUUCUGCUGUCUUAUGCCACAGCUUAUCCAUUUCUCCACUGAAGGAUAUCUUGGUUCUUUUCCUGUUUUGGCAAUUAUCAAUAAAGCUGCUAAGGGCAUCUGUAUGCUGGGUGUUCUAUGAGCGUAAGUUAUGCUUGUGCUCGACUCCUUUGCAUAAGAGUAUGUCUACUUAUUUAUGUAUUUGAAAGGCAGAGUUACAGAGAGAGGGAAGGGGGAGAGAGAAAGAGACAGAGACAGAGACAGAGAGAAUCUUCCAUCUGCUGGUUCUCUCCCCAAAUGGCCACAAUGGCUGGGGUUGGGCCAGGCUGAAGCUAGGAGCCAGGAAUUCCGUCUGGGCCUCCCAUGUGGGUGGCAGGGGCCCACGCACUUUGGCCAUCCUCUGCUACCUUCCCAGGCGCAUCAGCAGGGAGCGAGGUUGGAACUUGAGCAGCGGGGACUCUAACAAACACUCAUAGGGGAUGCCAACGUUGCAGGCGACACCUGCACCAGAAUGCCAGCCCCAGGUAUGUCUAAGAGCCUGCAGAACUGUCUGCUGGAUGUGUUCUGGUCUGCAUUCCCACAGCAAUGAAUGAGUGAUCCUGUUGCUCCACAAAAACCCUUUCUAAAAAAGAGCUCACCAAGUCUGAACCCAGCAUGUCUUUCACGUGUUUGGUGGAGAUGUACAUUUGUAGACCCUCAGAAAAUAGUAAUCAAGAUCCUUAAACAUCUUCAUGUUUUAAACCCAGUGAUUCCAAUUUUGGAACUGAUUACUAAAAAUAGAAAAAAAAAAACACAAAAAUACCCUUAGAGUACAGGGAGGAAAAAAAGAGAUGUUCACACCAACAUUUUUCAUAAUAGAAAAACCUAGAAGCAACCUGUUGAACUACGUACAAAUUACGUAAAUUAGGGUUCAUGCAUACGAAGGGCUCUAACCCAACCAUGAAGAACGAUGUGGAGGGGCCUGCGCUGUAGUGUAGAAGGUUAAGCCUCUGCCUGCGGUGCUGCCAUCCCACAUGGACACUAGUUCAAGUUGUGGCUGCUCCACUUCCGAUCCAGCUCCCUGGUAAAUGUGCCUGGGACAGCAGUGGAGGACGGCCCAGUCCUUGGGCCCCUGCACCCGCGUGGGAGACCCGGAAGAAGCUCCUGGCUCCUGGCUUUGACCUGGCCUAGCCCCACCUGUUGUGGCCAUCUGGGGAGGGAACCAGUGGAUGGAA